rnacentral:ncRNA from 1 species
UGGUCCUGGCCCUAAAAUCAAUUUUUACCCAACUUACACAUGCAAGUCUCCGCACCCCUGUGAAUAACGCCCUUCCCCCCCUCCCCAGGAACAAGGAGCCGGUAUCAGGCGCAACACUUUGCCCAAAACACCUAGCCACGCCACACCCACACGGGACAUCAGCAGUGAUUAAUAUUGAGCAUGAGCGUCAGCUCGACUCAGUUAGGGAUAAACAGAGCUGGCCAAUCUGGUGCCAGCCGCCGCGGUUACACCAGAGGCUCAAAUUGAUUUACUUCGGCGUAAAGCGUGGUAAGAGUAUUUUUUAAACUGGGGUCAAACCGAGAUUAAGUCGUAUAACACUUAUCCCUAGGAAUACCAAAAACGAAAGUUACCCUAUAACCAUAACUUGAAUCCACGACAGCUGGGACACAAACUGGGAUUAGAUACCCCACUAUGCCCUGCCGUAAACUUUAAAUUACACCCCCACCCGCCAGGGAACUACGAGCAAUGCUUAAAACCCAAAGGACUUGACGGUGCCCCAUAUCCCACUAGAGGAGCCUGUCCUAGAAUCGAUGAUCCCCGUUUAACCUCACCUCUACUAGCCUUUCAGCCUGUAUACCUCCGUCGUCAGCUCACCACGUGAGUGAACCUCAGUGGGCCCAAUUGCCUAAUUUACCAAAUAACGCUAAUACGUCAGGUCAAGGUGCAGCUAAUGUAGAGGGAAGAGAUGGGCUACACUCUCUAACCUAGAAGAUACGAAAGACUAUUUAUGAAACCUAGUCAGAAGGAGGAUUUAGCAGUAAGAAGAAACUAGAGUAUUCUUCUGAACCCGGCCCUGGAGCGUGUACACACCGCCCGUCACCCUCUUCAAAAACAAAUAUAUUGUACUUAACCAACUACCUUAAUAAAGAAGAGGCAAGUCGUAACAUGGUAAGCGUACCGGAAGGUGUGCUUGGAAA